rnacentral:rRNA from 1 species
AGAGUUUGAUCCUGGUUCAGGAUAAACGCUGGCGGCGUGCCUAAGACAUGCAAGUCGAACGAGGGACCUUUGUAGCAAUACCGAGGUUUCCUAGUGGCGAAUGGGUGAGUAACGCGUUGGUGACCUGCCCCGAAGUGAGGGAUAACAGUUCGAAAGGACUGCUAAUACCACAUGUGGUCAGCGGGUUUAGAAACCGCUGACUAAAGGAGUAAUUCGCUUCGGGAGGGACCUGCGUCCCAUCAGCUAGUUGGUAGGGUAACGGCCUACCAAGGCUACGACGGGUAGGGGGCCUGAGAGGGUGGCCCCCCACAUUGGCACUGACACACGGGCCAAACACCUACGGGUGGCAGCAGUCGGGAAUAUUGCACAAUGGGCGAAAGCCUGAUGCAGCAACGCCGCGUGCGCGAUGAAGGCCUUCGGGUCGUAAAGCGCUUUUUGGGGAGAUGAGAAAGGACAGUAUCCCCAGAAUAAGGAUCGGCUAACUACGUGCCAGCAGCCGCGGUAACACGUAGGAUCCAAGCGUUAUCCGAAUUUACUGGGCGUAAAGCGCGUGCAGGCGGUUUGGUAAGUUGGAUGUGAAAGCUCCCGGCUCAACUGGGAGAGGCCGUUCAAAACUACCAGACUAGAGGGCGGUAGAGGGAGGUGGAAUUCCCGGUGUAGUGGUGAAAUGCGUAGAUAUCGGGAGGAACACCAGUGGCGAAAGCGACCUCCUGGACCGCACCUGACGCUCAGACGCGAAAGCUAGGGGAGCGAACGGGAUUAGAGACCCCGGUAGUCCUAGCCGUAAACGAUGCAGACUUGGCGUCGGUGGGGUAAAAGCCAUCGGUGCCGAAGCUAACG